rnacentral:lncRNA from 9 species
UUUUUUUUUUAAUGUAAGGGAAGAAGGUACAAGCGCAGAGACGAUAAUGCUCCCUUAGAACCGUCCCCUUGAGGGCUUCGGUCACACGCUGCAGAACUGGUCCCCAUAGGCCAGUAUCUUGGACACCUUUUCCAGGCUUAAAGCACAACACUGGCCCCCAAAUCGCUACCGACCAUGUGCUGACCCGAAACAGUUGCACCAGUGUCUAAAGAACCAUCCAGCAGGCAUCAAUAUUUGGAGAAUGAACACGCAGGGAAGUCUGAGGCAAGUGAUUGGAAAGGCGUUUCUAAUUAGGGAGCGGGAACCCUCCACUGAUGGCAGAGGGCCUGGCUGAAAUCCCGAGUGACCUGGCGGAACCGCUGGCAGGCAGGGUGGUCCUCCCGCCCUGUCCCGUCCCGUCCAGCUGGGGCUCUCGGUCCAGUGACAGAGGUCACUAAAGAGACACGAGGUCAGGGCCCCCCUUUUAGGCGAAGGCGGCGGGUCUGAAAACCAUUAAAAUCAGACCCUAACACAGGUCUUUUCCAAAUACCUGGGGACCUGAGGAACCCGAGAAGGGACUGCGGGUCAGAUUUCUUUCCGGAGACCCAGUCCCUCUGUCAUUUGCCCGAAUGGGGCCACUUCUGUUCUCAGCAAGUGCGGAAGACCCCUGGUUUCAGGCCAUCUAUGUCAAAACCUGUGCCAACACGCCAAACGUGGGAGGAGGGGAUGGCUCACAUGACAAAAGGAAUUCUUCGACAGAAACCUGCCACUUCAGCAUUCCUCUCGCUUACAAACUUCCUCCAGGCCUUUCCCAUGUCCCGUGAUCCACCGAGAUUGGUUUUGCACAGCUAUUGCUCCCUGCCCAGACCUCAUGGGCGAAGCAAGGGAGCCCGGGUGAUUUUGCAUAGACCGUCUUUCGCCAGUGGCAGAGUUCAAAGGGAGGAAUUUCAUUCAGGACCAUAAGCCCUCUUGGGAAGUGAGCAGGGAGCACCCAUCCUGGGAGGGAGGGGCCAGAGGACCCCAACCAGGUCCAUGGUGACAAGGGGACAUCGCCCAGGACCAUGCCGGCCAGACACAGAAGUAGCAGGGUCUGUCUGUCUGGACACGUAAACAAAUGUCCCAGGGCGCUGUCUCUUAAAGGGCCUCUUCCAGGCUCCUGGGAACUCUCAACCCCCAGGGAAGGAGGCAGGUCUCAGUCCUGAAGACCAGAACUGUAGUGCUUUAUGGUUCACCCAAAUGCAGUUCACUUCUGUCCUCACCAAGUACAAAGGGCACCUGAUUUCAAGACUUCUACGUCAAAGCCCGUGCCAACAAACCAAAUAAGUAUAUGGGGGGGGUGCGACCAGGUGGGGGUAAGCCUGGAAGACUUCUCAGAAGAGGCGGAGUAGAAAAGCUUUACGGCUGGGUUAUACUUCAGCGGGAAAAGGCUCCGUUCUGGCUUUAGCUGGCCAGGACGUCAGUGGACUCCCUGUUUCCUAAUGUGUCCACUGAUAGUGAAAAAGCCUGGGGAGCUUGUUAAAAAUGCAGACUCUGAGCACUGCCCGCCCCCGCCAGCCCCGUGCACUCACAAACCAACACAGAAAUGUCUAAAAGUGGGGGAAGGGGGAUGGUUGCUAAGAAUACUCAUUUUUAUUAGGCUCUCCAAGCAUUUCAUUCAUAGCGUGCAGGCAGUGGCGGUAGGGGUGGGGGGUGCUAGGGGAGCAGGUUCAAGUGCACUGGCUGAUCUGGGAAAAGCUGGGCAGGGAGGGCCCACGAGGAGUCCCCAAGGAGAGGGACGAGGCAGGUGUAGACAGACAGAGGGCUGUUCCCCAACUGUUUAGUCACAACAUCCCCAACCCCGCUCCCACCAAGACUUCCUGUUAUGAUCCUCCCUGGAGCUGGCUGGUGAUAGAAAGCGCCUGUGCCAGUGCACGAAGGGCGGGGGAGAGAGAGAGAAGGGAACAGAGGGAGAAGGGGGCAGAGGGAGAGAGAAGAUGAAUGCCUUUCAGUUUACGAACUGCAAGGGGAAAGGUUGGGAGCGUAAGAAAAAUCAAGGCCAGGCGACCAUACCCUCAGAGGAACCGAGAAACUCUCUGGACAACAGAAGGCUGGCUGGCUGAGACUUAAGCAACCUCAAAACUUCCUUUUUCCAAACAAACAUCACCUACACUCUCUGCAGGCAACCACCCCCAGCUGGAGAGGACACCCCUAAUUUGCGUGUGUAUUGUUAGUGGAAGGUUUGGGCUGCUGUGGUCUCCGGGGCAGGCACAGGAGAAGGGCUUCUUUCAUAGGCUUCCUCAACUCCACACAAACCCUCUCUUAUGCAAAGAUGCUGGCCCAGCCUCCACCCCCUGCUUCCCCAAACCCCUCCAGGCUGGCUCUCCUCACCCCUGAAGAGGAGGGGGGAUCACCUCCCAGCCUAAGGUUGCUUUCUGAGGUCCGGGCUGGAACCUAUGUUCCUUUAAAUCUGCCCAGAUCACCGGGAAAUGCUGCCUUUGCUGGGUUUGCACGCUGAGCACCUGACACACCUGCUGCUGAGGCAGCGUGAGUCACCCGCACAGACACUGCUCACUGGACUCCAGUUCAGAGCUUGGCUGUCACGCACCCCGGAUGUCAUCCCCCACCUACCCCUCCGAAGGCAUGUCAGGACAGAUCAGGCUCUAACCCAAUGUCUACUCAACGGCUCACCCCCAGGGGAAGCACAGGAAGGAUGGAGGGGGUACACAAGGAUGCGUCUCCCGUUCAUGGUCAAGGGUCUUCUCCCCUCUGUGUCCUGGAACAUCUCAUCUGCCCUGCUGGCCAUAAAUAGGGCGGAGGGGUGAGUAAACCUGGGGAAGAAGAUGGAAUGGACUUCUCUAUGCUAACCUUCCCCAGAAUAAAGAUGGUCCCCAGUGAAUAAGCUUUGGAGCUCUCUGUACAGCACGGCGCCUGUAGUUUAACAAUCCCCUAUUGUUAAGUAUUUAUUAUUAACAACACUGUAUUCGUAAACAUUUGCUUAGAGGGUAUACCUUCUGUUAAGAGUUCUUGUCACCAAAAUCAUGCCUCGACGGAGUGGUUUUUAAAGAAGACAGUUUGCCGGAUCCCUCUCCACGUUCGGGCUUUUUUACAAGACAGUACUUUCUGCUACGCAGGAUCCUGAACUGAAUUCUGGCCCCCACUUUGAGCAUCUCACUGUGGAUAUAUGAGGUAUCAACACACAGAGAAACUGCGUGAAGCAUAUAAGGGAACUCGUACUAUUUCUGCACCUUUCUGGUCUACCUACAUUUCUAUCCAAGUCAAAAUUAAUGGUAAUUUUUAAAGGGACAGCCUCUUAAAUCCGGCUUCCUAGUAAUCUGAAUCUAUGGCAUUGCUAAAAUAAUUGGCAUCCUAGUCCUGAAGGCAAAUUUUAAGUUACUCUCCUGCCACUGCUGAUCAGCUCUUUGCUUCGCGAACAGCAAAUUGAAACAAAACACGGCAUUCACUCAGGAAGCAUUUUCUCGGCUCCUACUGUCCUCUGGCCCCCAGCUGCGGCACAAGCUUCCUCCAAGCCCACCUUGUAAAUGUCCACCAAGAGGGGCCUGCCCCUGAUUUCAGGCAUGACUGACUUAGGGCAAAGAGAGUGAUUCCUGGGAAUUUUCCAAAGGAAAUAAUUCCAAAUGUGGACAAAUCCUUAUGUACAAAAGACACUCACCAAUGCAUUACUUCAAAGGGUAAAAAUUUGGAAAUACCUUGGGGUCCAACAAUGGGGGAAUUGUCAAGCAAACUAUGACUCAAUGCCUGCAGCAGAAUACAGUCAUUAUGUGGGGAAAUGGUCGGAAAAAAAAAAAAGUGGGGGGGAUAAAGCGGGAAACAAAGUUGUAUCUAUUGCCAGAUUUCGGCAGUGGAGGAAAUAUGUCACAUUGCCAGCAUUACUGUGGGAAUGGGGUGUUUUCUUUCCUGCUUUUCGCACUUUUGUGUAGUUUUCUGUGAAAGAGAAUGAAAGGGCACCGAUUACUAUUAAACUCAGAUGGGGUGCAGAGGUGGGGCUGCAGGCCAUCAGUGGGACAAUUUCAACAGCUUUUCUCCCAGAGAGGGUGGGGAAGAGCCACAAAGAACCUACUGCACCACGGUGGGCAGUUCCGGGGACCAGGGUGUGGCCAGAGCACAGGCCCCUGGGGGGAGGGGCAGUACCAACACACAGCACCUUUUUUUCUUCCCCAGGUGUCUGGCUUGCCUCUCUUCCCAAGCAGGUGCUUGUGGCACUGACACCCUGCACACCGUUCAAGAGAGAUCCGUGACAGCUUCCAGAAGUCUUAUUUGCAGGACGGACUUCUGGGUGAGAAACGGAUUGGCCCUGCCAGCAGGGCCGGAGGUAGGAGAGGAAGUUUCACAUCUGGGAAAGCAUCCCCAGGAAACCAUCUUCAGGGGUGAAGUCGGGGAGUUGAGGACAAAGAAAGAGAAGGAAAGGGAGGUCCCUGGUUUAUCUGUGCAUCGAGGUGGACUCUUGCUCAGUCAUUCAUUCAACAAACAUCGACUGUAGGCUUACUCAGUGACAGGCACCGCGCUGAUUCAAACAGCGCCCAGACAGAUGGACAAGGAGAGGUGGGCGCUAUGGAUACAGGAGCAGUUUGCUUUCAGUUCGGGACUCAAGACUAAGCCCCCUCCCUGUGCUGGACAGGAAAGCUCUUCCAUUACAAGCUGCACUGAUUGGGCGGGGGUGGGGGGGUGGGGGGGUGGAAGUACUGGACCGAAUUCCUGCCACCUCCCACGCGUUCCGAAAGCCUUUCCACACGGUCCUGGCGUCCGUCUGACGGAUGGCCCAGUCCUUGCAG